rnacentral:rRNA from 1 species
AGACUGCGUUUGAAACUGUAUAUCUUGAGUGCAGCAGAGGAGAGUGGAAUUUCUAGUGUAGUGGUGGAAUACGUAGAUAUUAGAAAGAACACCAGUGGCGAAGGCGACUCUCUGGGCUGACACUGACGCUCAGGUACGAAAGCUGGAGGAGCGAACGGGAUUAGAUACCCCGGUAGUUCCAGCUGUAAACGAUGGACACUAGGUGUUGGGGGUUCGAUUCCCUCAGUGCCGUAGUUAACGCAGUAAGUGUCCCGCCUGGGGAUUACGGUCGCAAGACUGAAACUCAAAGGAAUUGACGGGGGCCCGCACAAGCGGUGGAGCAUGUGGUUUAAUUCGAAGCAACGCGAAGAACCUUACCGAGGUUUGACAUCCUGUGACCACCUAUGAAAGUAGG